ensembl:ncRNA H24G06.5 ncRNA
AAUAUUAAAGUGGGACCGAUGGAACGUAUGUCCAUCGAAUUCUAUUCUAAAGGUUUAAAAAAUGCGAAGUAAAUUUCGAACUAUGCGUUUGUUUC